rnacentral:rRNA from 1 species
GAUGAACGCUGGCGGCGUGCCUAAUACAUGCAAGUCGAGCGAACAGACGAGGAGCUUGCUCCUCUGACGUUAGCGGCGGACGGGUGAGUAACACGUGGAUAACCUACCUAUAAGACUGGGAUAACUUCGGGAAACCGGAGCUAAUACCGGAUAAGAUAUUGAACCGUAUGGUUCAAUAGUGAAAGACGGUUUUGCUGUCACUUAUAGAUGGAUCCGCGCCGCAUUAGCUAGUUGGUAAGGUAACGGCUUACCAAGGCAACGAUGCGUAGCCGACGUGAGAGGGUGAUCGCCCACACUGGAACUGAGACACGGUCCAGACUCCUACGGGAGGCAGCAGUAGGGAAUCGUCCGCAAUGGGCGAAAGCCUGACGGAGCAACGCCGCGUGAGUGAUGAAGGUCUUCGGAUCGUAAAACUCUGUUAUUAGGGAAGAACAAAUGUGUAAGUAACUAUGCACGUCUUGACGGUACCUAAUCAGAAAGCCACGGCUAACUACGUG